GGGGCUUCGUCCAAUGGGAGGAUGCAAGUAAAAUCUCGUUUUGAUAAAAGCUUUGCUUUAAUCAAGUUCAGGAUUUCUUAUUCUGAGAUCUCGGUUCGAUUCCGGGAGUUCCUA